ensembl:lincRNA
UAUCACUUUCAGUAGCUGCUUAUCCAGUACAGGGUCUUGGGGGAGCUGGGGCCUAUCCCGGCAUGCAACGGGCACAAGGCAGGAUACACCCUGGACAGGACGCCAGUCCAUCACAAGGUCACAUACAGACACACACUUCUCCCAGAAGCCAAUUAACCCACCAGCAUGUCUUUGGCCUGUGCGAGGAAAAUGAAACACCCAGAGGAAACCCAUGCAAACCCAGGGAGAGCAUGCAAACACCACCCAGACAGCACCCCAGGGAUCGAACCCAGGGCCCUGCAAGGCAGCAACGCUCACCACUGCACACUUGUAAGAAAAGCAGCCCAAAACCGAGCAAGGACAGCACACGAUGAAGCUGGCUUGGGUGACGGCAACCUUAUUGGCGCUGGUUGACGUGUCACAUCAGCCGCGCAGUCUUUAAAAGAGGGGGAAUGAGGCCAGACCGGUUUGAAGAAUGAUGUCGAUCCAGUUACCCGCCUGGACGGCAGAGGAGAGCAGACGGGAGUACUUGAGAGCAGGCAGAGGGAGGAGCGGAGCCUGAAGAGAGAGUCUGACGAAGGAAGAGUAAGGGAGAAGCGUCACAAUUCCGAACCGACAGCCAGAGAAGGACGAGGCGCGAGGAUGAGGGAGUGAGAGGGGGAUUAUCCCGCUGGACUAAUUGUUUCAUUGGACAUCUUUCCUUUUCCGCAGGGAACCCGCUAGCUGGCAUGGCAACCGUCCGUCCCCCGAGUCAUCGCAUAGGGCCUCUCGGGAUUGGCAUCGCCAUCGGCCUGUCGAUCCUGGCCUGCCUGCUGAUUGUCUGCCUGCUGAAGCACUGCUGCAAGAAGUUCUGUCACUGCCAGCGCAGUGAGUCCCCUCUCCAUCUCCCUGCCUCGCAUGACCCAUUUUCCCAGCUGAUCCCUCAUCCAAACAUCCAGCCAUUGUCUAACCACUUUAUGAGGUUCAGGGUCACUGAAGAGCCAGUCCAUCUCAGGGCACACACAGACACACACACACACACUCACAGCAGGGCAGAUUUUCCCAGCAGCCAGUUAACCCACCAGCUUGCCAGGAAACCUGAAGCACCUGGAGGAAACGCAGACAAACUCCACACAGACAGCACCCCAGGAAGUGAACCCAGGGCCUCAGCGCUGCAAGGCAGCAAUACGGAACACUGCUUCACCAUGCUAUCUCGACAUCAAACUGGGAAAUGUUGUGAUGCAAAUCAAAGAUAUGCCAAAAGCAGAAGAUGCAGCUUGCUCUUUGUUGCCAUUCCAACUGGAACCUGAAAACUGCCAGGUGUCCCCUCUUUAACAACAAAACACUCUCUGCAGAAACCACGACCGGUUCAGCUGUGAUUCGGCAAGACUUUGUAGAAAAAUGAGUCAAAUUAUUAAUGGAGCCCAAAAUCGUGAACUUUGUGAAAGUACUGUCGCCAUGUUGUCGAGAGUUUCUACGAACUGUCACGUGAGGCGGCCCUUCCUGCUCACUAGUCACUGUAAUGACUAACGUUACGUGAUGGACGAGCAAAUAAGUACAGGUUGUUGACAAGUACUAUUUGUCGACAAAACCAUCUCUUAGUGGAGAGCAAUAUUCCUUCUGGAUUAAAAGGCCUGGAUUCACAAGCCUGAGUGUUUACAGUGUAAUAGAGCUGCUUCACCUCACCAGAAGUCUUGUUGCCUCGUUCAGAAUCAUAGAACAUGGCGCUGAGCAUCCCUGGAAAUCACCUCAAUUUUGUAAUGUUAACAGGAGAUUUCACAGGUUACUGUGUACAUUUUACUUUCAUUGCAGCUUGAAAUGCACGCAUCCAUGCCGAUUCUUUCUGACCCCCAAAUAUGAAACGAGUGCUGCAGCUCCCCUUUAAAGUCAGCUGGUCCACUGACACAAGCUGGUCCUGAAAGCUGCAAGCUGUGUAACUGUACCCCUUGGCACACGACACAUGCUGCCACGCGGAACAUGUUCUUACUGACUGCUGCAGGGCUUGCCCAGGUGCCCAUGAGAGGGUAGAAAUCGAUCUGGAACACAGAUCGGUGUACCCCAGGGGUUCCCAAGCCCCAAUAGCAGCCCAUCUCCCAGCUACCCAGCUGUGCCCUGAACCGACUUAAUUACAGGAUUCAUUCGAACCGGUAACACUAGGUGCAGCUCAAGAGCAAUACUAUUAGAUUUCGGAUCAAAGAUAAAAUCCCAAUCCUUUGAGCAGAUAACUCGCAAACUUUGCAAUCAAGCACGUUUGUUUGCUCAGGUACAACAAGCACACCAAGGAAACUCAGCUGAUGAAUGAAAACUUACAGGUGUGGGGGCCACCUGCACCAGGAAUGUGUACCCCUGGGGUGCACUGCUGUUGCACUGGGGAAAGCGUGGUGUACCUUUGAGCUGGGGGCAUUGAAUUUCAAGGAGCAAAUCAGUCUUCAAUUACAGGAGUUUGAUCAGGUGGAUAAGAGUGUAGAACAGAUGGUACAGUCCAUCAGAGCCCACUGAGACUGAGAGGGGUGCAGAGUAGAGGUGGUACAGUCCAUCAGAGCCCAGUGAGAAUCAGAAGGGUGUAAAGUAGAGAUGGUACAGUCCAUCACAGCCUAUUGAGACUGGGAGGGGUGUAGAGUAGAGAUGGUACAGUCAUCUGGAUUAUUGCUCUGUACAGCUACAAAG